GCCCCGUCAGGAUGCUGCUCAACAUCACCACCAGGAAGUUCCCCUGUGGAGUAGGUCGUCCAGUAAAGCUGUCGAAGGAGCUCCAUGCUGAAGAACAUAACACUUGUAGAGCUUGUAAAAUAUUGUAUCUCAUUAUUGAACUUGUGGAGCUUGUAGCUGUGACUGGCAUACUGUUAUUACACUUGCAGAGCUUGCAAAGUGUAUGUUAGAGCUUAUUUUGUACAGCAGGAGCUUUGUAUUGAAUCUGGCUGAUAAUAUUUGAAGUGUUACUUGUAGAA